rnacentral:rRNA from 1 species
UACGUAGGGUGCGAGCGUUGCCCGGAUUUAUUGGGCGUAAAGGGCGCGUAGGCGGCCACGCACGUCCGUUGUGAAAUCGCCCGGCUCAACUGGGCGGGGUCGGCGGAUACGGCGUGGCUGGAGCAAGCUAGGGGGCAAUGGAAUUCCCGGUGUAGUGGUGGAAUGCGUAGAUAUCAGGAGGAACACCAAUGGCGAAGGCAGCUCGCUGGGACGGUACUGACGCUGAGACGCGAAAGCGUGGGGAGCAAACAGG